rnacentral:rRNA from 1 species
UACGGGGGGAGCAAGCGUUGUUCGGAUUUACUGGGCGUAAAGGGCGCGUAGGCGGUCGUGACAAGUCACUUGUGAAAUCUCCGGGCUUAACUCGGAACGGUCAAGUGAUACUGUCGGACUAGAGUACAGAAGGGGCAACUGGAAUUCUCGGUGUAGCGGUGAAAUGCGUAGAUAUCGGGAGGAACACCAGUGGCGAAGGCGGUGCUCUGGGCCGGAACUGACGCUGAGGAGCGAAAGCAUGGGGAGCGAACAGG